rnacentral:tRNA from 1 species
GGCCUGAUGGUCUAGGAGUAUGAUUCGUUGUUAGGGUUUCUGCCUUACGUUCGACGAGGUCCCGGGUUCAAUUCCCGGUCAGGCCC